rnacentral:rRNA from 1 species
UCCAGACUCCUACGGGAGGCAGCAGUGGGGAAUAUUGCACAAUGGGGGAAACCCUGAUGCAGCGACGCCGCGUGAGUGAAGAAGUAUUUCGGUAUGUAAAGCUCUAUCAGCAGGGAAGAAGAAAGACGGUACCUGACUAAGAAGCCCCGGCUAACUACGUGCCAGCAGCCGCGGUAAUACGUAGGGGGCAAGCGUUAUCCGGAUUUACUGGGUGUAAAGGGGGCGCAGACGGCGAUGCAAGCCAGGAGUGAAAGCCCGGGGCCCAACCCCAGGACUGCUCUUGGAACUGCGUGGCUGGAGUGCAGGAGGGGCAGGCGGAAUUCCUGGUGUAGCGGUGAAAUGCGUAGAUAUCAGGAGGAACACCGGUGGCGAAGGCGGCCUGCUGGACUGCAACUGACGUUGAGGCCCGAAAGCGUGGGGAGCAAACAGGAUUAGAUACCCGUGUAUCU